CUCUCCAUCAGAUGAUGACUACUCUAGAGGGUAUGGUGUCAAAGACCCAGCGAUCAUUAAUGACACUAAAGGAGAGAAUACACUUGGUAUCAACACUGACUUCAGCUCAUAAUAUGUACAAACAAUUUGAACAAGAACAAGAGCCCAUUAUACAGCAGAGGAUACAACAAGCAGUUGAUGAAGUGAAGACAAAGUCAUCAGAAGACAAACAGAAAGUAUUAAUGGACGCCAGCAGACAAUUGAGGGAAGCACUGAAAGAAGCUAAUGCACAAUCAAACUCAAAAGAAGUAAA